rnacentral:rRNA from 1 species
UACGGGGGGAGCAAGCGUUGUUCGGAUUUACUGGGCGUAAAGGGCUCGUAGGUGGCCAAUUAAGUCAGACGUGAAAUCCCCCAGGCUCAACUUGGGGAACUGCGUCUGAUACUGGUUGGCUUGAAUUCGGGAGAGGGAUGCAGAAUUCCAGGUGUAGCGGUGAAAUGCGUAGAUAUCGAGAGGAACACCAGUGGCGCAAGCGGCUGACUGGCCGAGACCUGACGCUGAGACACGACGGCGUGGGGAGCAAACCGG